AUGGAACUCAAUAUUUAUGGGCUAAAUAGUGCAAUUGUAUUAGGUAUAUCUGCUUGUAUUGGUGGAUUAAAUAUUUGGUUAUACGUUUAUGCAUAAACCAAUUGUAUUCUUAAGAAAUUAAAGAAGGCUUUAAACGAUAUUAAUAUAUAUGAUGUUGGUUAAUGCUUAAGAUUAAAAAUCAUUAAAUAUCAUUUUUCCAAUCAUGUAGUUUAGUUCAUUCUUUAUUAAUUUUAAUUCAUUUUUAUUAAUAUCUUUUAACGUUAGAAAUUUGAUUAAAUAUUAUUACUUUAAACGAUCUUUAAUAUCCAUUUAAUUACAAUCUUAAAUGAUAUGGAGUUAUAAACAUGGAUAGUCACAAUAAUACUAUUUUUUUUUAUAGAAAAUUAGGUGAUUUACAAUUUAAUUUAAGAGAUGAUGAUUUUAAAAUUGGAAUACGAAAUUAUAGACAAAUUAUAUCUCUUAUAGUUUAUACUGUUUAGGUAAUAUGUUAUGUAUGCAUUGAUCGUAUUUCAUAAUAACGUUUGAUGGAGAUGAAUUUGUAGUAUACAAUAGUUGACAUAUUAUUAUACUAUGAAAAAGUCUGUUUAGUAUUUAAUAUGUUCAUGUACAUUCACUUCUGAUGUGUAAUACUUGUAUUUGACAUAUAAAUUUUAAUCUGAUUGUUCGUAACAAUUUAACUAGAAAUACCAUAUGAUAAGUGUAUGUUUAUAGUGUUCUUAUUUGAUAUAUAAGAAUAAGAAAUUUGAUACUUUAUAUGACAUUACAUGACAUGUUAUCAUAUAAUUUUUAAUCUGUUUGUUUGAUGACAAAUUAUAGCUAUAUUUUAGUAGUAAAAAAAAUCAUAUAUUGAUUUACUCAUCUUUCUUUAUAAAUGUUAUCUUACUAUUAAUCAAGAUGUAUGAUUUUAUUGUAGCUUUAAUCAUAUAUCAACUUUGUCCUUUAUGGAAUACCACUAAUUUGAAAACUAACACACACAAUAAAUUAGAGCAUGACCUAUAAUAAUAGGCUUAUCACUAUUGCAAUUUAUGUGUCUUUUAUAUGCUUUGAUUUUUUUAGAUGAU
rnacentral:lncRNA from 1 species